rnacentral:rRNA from 1 species
UACAGAGGUGGCAAGCGUUGCUCGGUAUCACUGGGCUUAAAGGGCGCGUAGGCGGUGCGGUACGGUUUCGGUGAAAUCCCUCGGCCCAACCGAGGAACAGCCGGAGCUACGGCCGGACUAGACGGCAUCGAGGGGACAGUGGAACUCCCGGUGGAGCGGUGAAAUGCGUAGAUAUCGGGAGGAACGCCGGUGGCGAAAGCGACUGUCUGGGGUGCCUGUGACGCUGAGGCGCGAAAGCCAGGGGAUCAAACGGG